CCUACGGGAGGCAGCAGUGAGGAAUAUUGGUCAAUGGACGAGAGUCUGAACCAGCCAAGUAGCGUGAAGGAUGACUGCCCUAUGGGUUGUAAACUUCUUUUAUAUGGGAAUAAAAUGUUCCACGUGUGGGAUUUUGUAUGUACCAUAUGAAUAAGGAUCGGCUAACUCCGUGCCAGCAGCCGCGGUAAUACGGAGGAUCCGAGCGUUAUCCGGAUUUAUUGGGUUUAAAGGGAGCGUAGGUGGAUUGUUAAGUCAGUUGUGAAAGUUUGCGGUUCAACCGUAAAAUUGCAUUUGAAACUGGCAGUCUUGAGUACAGUAGGGGAGGGCGGAAUUCGUGGUGUAGCGGUGAAAUGCUUAGAUAUCACGAAGAACUCCGAUUGCGAAGGCAGUUCACUGGACUGCAACUGACACUGAGGCUCGAAAGUGUGGGUAUCAAACAGGAUUAGAUACCCGAGUAGUC
rnacentral:rRNA from 1 species